rnacentral:rRNA from 1 species
AGGGUUUGAUCCUGGCUCAGGAUGAACGCUGGCGGCGUGCCUAAUACAUGCAAGUCGAACGAGGCCCUCUUCCUUCGGGAGGAGGUGUCCUAGUGGCGAACGGGUGAGUAACACGUUGGUGACCUACCCCGAAGAGGGGGACAACCCCGGGAAACUGGGGCUAAUACCCCAUGUGAUCCAGAGCGUUAGAGGGCUUUGGAUGAAAUGGAUGCUUUGCAUUUGCUUCGGGAGGGGCCUGCGGCCUAUCAGCUAGUUGGUGAGGUAAUGGCUCACCAAGGCGACGACGGGUAGGGGACCUGAGAGGGUGACCCCCCACACUGGAACUGAAACACGGACCAGACACCUACGGGUGGCAGCAGUAGGGAAUAUUGCACAAUAGGCGAAAGCCUGAUGCAGCAACGCCGCGUGCGCGAUGAAGGCCUUCGGGUUGUAAAGCGCUUUUCUGGGGGAAGAGAAAGGACGGUACCCCAGGAAUAAGUCUCGGCUAACUACGUGCCAGCAGCCGCGGUAAAACGUAGGAGGCAAGCGUUAUCCGGAUUUACUGGGCGUAAAGCGCGUGCAGGCGGUUUGGUAAGUCGGACGUGAAAGCUCCCGGCUCAACUGGGAGAGGCCGUUCGAAACUGCCAGACUAGAGGGCAGCAGAGGGAGGUGGAAUUCCGGGUGUAGCGGUGAAAUGCGUAGAUAUCCGGAGGAACACCAGUGGCGAAGGCGGCCUCCUGGACUGUCCCUGACGCUAAGACGCGAAAGCUAGGGGAGCAA